rnacentral:tRNA from 1 species
UAACGUAUGGCUUAGUGGUCAGAGCGCCUGAUCGGUUUCCAGGAGGCGUGGGUUCGAAUCCCGCUGCGUUCA